ensembl:misc_RNA Metazoa_SRP Metazoan signal recognition particle RNA
GCCGGGCACAGUGGUGUGUGCCUGUAGUCCCAGCUACUUGGGAGGCUGAGGUGGGAGGAUUGUUUGAGCCCAGGAGUUCUGGGCUGUAGUGCGCUAUGCCGAUCGGGUGUCUGCACUAAGUUUGGCAUCAAUAUGGUGACCUCCUGGGAGCGGGGGACCACCAGGUUGCCUAAGGAGGGGUGAACCGGCCCAGGCCGGAAGUGGAGCAGGUCAAAACUCCUGUGCUGAUCAGUAGUGGGAUCGUGCCUGUGACUAUCCACUGCACGCCAGCCUGAGCAACAUAGCGAGACCCCCAUCUCUU